GUCACAAUGUUUGCUUUUAGCACAAAAUGUGCUUCAGUGCGCGAUGAAAUUGCGCACGAAUUAGUUUGGUGGUUGUUGAGCCAGCCGCUGGCUGAGGCGCACUGCGUUUCACACACAAGGAACCUGGAAGAAAAUAACAAUUUAGACUCUCCUCACUAAGGUGGCCCCUCCCGUCUCCGUUGCUUCAACUUGGCCUUGAAACGGGAUGACGCAGCUACCAGAGAGUUAACUCGUUGACCUUGGAGCGAAACGAGUCCUGAUGACUAUACAGCUGGAAAUCUCUGCUGUAAGAACUUCUUUUAUCGCACUUCCCUGCUCCAUCCCGCACACCCUACGCUAUUACACGAAGGGCUUAGCAAGCCACUGAGAUCAGACCUGUAUUACCCAAUUAAAAGGGGAAACAUCACGGGGUAUGGCUUACCAUUAGUUCAGCAGCAGCAGGGCAACCCACCAGGUGCAAAACCCCGAUAUUUCACAAGAGUGCAUGCAAUUCUUUAGUCUGGUAUGUGGGUCCCUGGCAUCUUUGAGAAAGGUGAUAUUUACAAGUCUGCCUGGUUGCAAAUGUUUUUUUUUUUUUUGCCAGAGUGCCGCUGUCAUCAGUCCCCACUGCAUGCUCAUGUGCCUCUGUUUUCUCGCUGCUCUCCACUAAUUUUAGCCUCUAAUAAUGAGCUAUUGAGUUAUACUGCCGGCAAGAUCAUCCUAUUCACAUUUCUGCCCUCAGUUUUCAGGUGUUUUUUUUAAAAUUUAUUUUUAAAUUUUUCCCACAACCGCCGUUCAAAUAAUGAUGUGUGGAUACAAACGGGCAUCCCGUUGAUUUGCAUGUAAUUGAAGGCGUGAGACACAUAGGUCCCGCAGUGAAUAAGCCCAAUGUUUUAGGAGUUUUGUAGUUUUACAAAUCUCAGUAUAAGUUAAGUUGCUGCCUUUACCACACCUGGUUGACUAGAAAAAUACCUGCACGGAGACAGCGGGCCUUACGUCAACUCAACUACGUCUGCAAUGUUUUUUUGAGUUGUUUGUCUUUAAAUUGUUCAUCCCGUGGAGUUUUGUUUUGUUUUGUUUUUUAAUUAAACUAUCCAAGUCUUCAUUUUUUCAUUAAAUUCCAGGUCGUGAACGCCAAACUGUGCAGGCCUUUCCCCUGCAAAUGCCUUAAAACCAAUGCUACUUUGAUAAUAAUGGUUUUUAAACUAUUUUGCAAGUUUCAAAACUCAAUAGAAAAUUAUUAGGAAGAUAGGAAAACAGUCCAUGCAUAGGUAUUUGAUUUCUGAAGUAACUAAAUGCAACCAUUCUAUUUCAAUCUCCACAUUCCGACAACAUUUUAAAACGGGCGAGCCAUUUCAGUCUCUAUCUUUAUAACCAG
ensembl:lncRNA